UGAUUUCCCUAGUAACGGCGAGUGAAGAGGAAAGAGCUCAAAGUUGGAACCUGUUUGGCCUAGCUAAACAGGAUUGUAAACUGUAGAAGUGGUUUUCCAGGCAAUCCGAGUUAAUAAGUCCUUUGGAACAGGGCAUCAUAGAGGGUGAGAAUCCCGUCUUUGAUUCGAGAAACUUUGCCUUUUGCGAUACACUUUCAAAGAGUCAGGUUGUUUGGGAAUGCAGCCUAAAUUGGGUGGUAAAUCUCACCUAAAGCUAAAUAUUGGCGAGAAACCGAUAGCGAACAAGUACCGUGAGGGAAAGAUGAAAAGAACUUUGAAAAGAGAGUUAAACAGUAUGUGAAAUUGUUAAAAGGGAACCGUUUGGAGCCAGACUGGCUUGUCUGUAAUCAAUCUAGGCUUUGGCCUGGAUGCACUUGCAGAUUAUGCCUGCCAACGACAAUUUGAUUUGAGGGAAAAAACUAGAGGAAAUGUGGCCAAUAUUUUUUUGUUGGUGUUAUAGUCCUUUAGAAAAUACCUUGGAUUGGAUUGAGGAACGCAGCGAAUGCUCUCUUUUUGGGGAGGGCGAGUCUUUGAUAAGUCUUUACGGAUAUGACUGGAGUUAAAAAGACCAGAAGUUGAAGUUUAAACUUGUUUUUAUGUACUUUAAUUCGCUUAGGUUGUUGGCUUAAUGACUCUAAAUGACCCGUCUUGAAACACGGACCAAGGAGUCCACCAUUAGUGCGAGUAUUUGGGUGCCAAACCCAUAUGCGCAAGGAAACUGAAUGAUAUGAAUCCAAUUUUUUUUUAGGAGGCAAUAUCGUCCGGCGUUGACGUUUUAUACUAAAGUGACCGAGAUAAAGCACUAAUGAUGGGACCCGAAAGAUGGUGAACUAUGCCUGAAUAGGGUGAAGCCAGAGGAAACUCUGGUGGAGGCUCGUAGCGAUUCUGACGUGCAAAUCGAUCGUCAAAUUUGGGUAUAGGGGCGAAAGACUAAUCGAACCAUCUAGUAGCUGGUUCCUGCCGA
rnacentral:rRNA from 1 species